rnacentral:rRNA from 1 species
AGCAGCCGCGGUAAUUCCAGCUCCAAUAGCGUAUAUUAAAGUUGUUGCAGUUAAAAAGCUCGUAGUUGAAUUUCGGGACCAAUCUGCCGGUCGUGCCUCCGGUACGCACUGGUUUUAUUGGUUUCUCCCUUCUGACGAACCAUGAUGUCAUUAAUUUGGUGUCAUGGGGAAUCAGGACUGUUACUUUGAAAAAAUUUAGAGUGUUUAUAGCAGGCUCACGCUUGAAUACAUUAGCAUGGAAUAAUGAAAUAGGACGUUUGACCCUAUUUUGUUGGUUUCUAGGAUCGACGUAAUGAUUAAUAGGGAUAGUUGGGGGCAUUAGUAUUCAAUUGUCAGAGGUGAAAUUCUUGGAUUUAUUGAAGACUAACUACUGCGAAAGCAUUUGCCAAGGAUGUUUUCAUUAAUCAAGAACGAAAGUUAGGGGAUCGAAGACGAUCAGAUACCGUCGUAGUCUUAACCAUAAACUAUGCCG